GUGGGGAAUAUUGGACAAUGGGCGAAAGCCUGAUCCAGCCAUGCCGCGUGUGUGAAGAAGGUCUUCGGAUUGUAAAGCACUUUAAGUUGGGAGGAAGGGCAGUAAGUUAAUACCUUGCUGUUUUGACGUUACCAACAGAAUAAGCACCGGCUAACUUCGUGCCAGCAGCCGCGGUAAUACAGAGGGUGCAAGCGUUAAUCGGAUUUACUGGGCGUAAAGCGCGCGUAGGUGGUUUUGUAAGUUGGAGGUGAAAUCCCCGGGCUCAACCUGGGAACUGCCUCCAAAACUGCAUGACUAGAGUACGGUAGAGGGUAGUGGAAUUUCCUGUGUAGCGGUGAAAUGCGUAGAUAUAGGAAGGAACACCAGUGGCGAAGGCGACUACCUGGACUGAUACUGACACUGAGGUGCGAAAGCGUGGGGAGCAAACAGGAUUAGAAACCCUGGUAGUCC
rnacentral:rRNA from 1 species